rnacentral:rRNA from 1 species
GAGAUUUUCGCAAUGCCCGAAAGGGUGACGGUGCGACGCCGCGUGGGUGACGAAGGCCUUCGGGUUGUAAAGCCCUGUCGAGGUGGGAAGAAACCCCCACUGGUGAAUAGCCUCUGGGGCUGACGGUACCACCACAGGAAGCUCCGGCCAACUCCGUGCCAGCAGCCGCGGUAACACGGGGGGAGCAACCGUUGUUCGGAAUCAUUGGGCGUAAAGGGCACGUAGGCGGCUUGGCAAGUCCGUCGUGAAACCCCCGGGCUCACCCCGGGGCAUGCGUCGGAUACUGCCGGGCUUGAGUCCAGGAGAGGAGGGUGGAAUUCCCGGUGUAGCGGUGAAAUGCGUAGAUACCAGCAAGAACACCGGUGGCGAAGGCGGCUCACUGGCCCGGUUCUGACGCUCAGGGCGCGAAAGCGUGGGGAGCAAACGGGAUUAGAUACCCCGGUAGUCCACGCCCUAAACGGUGGGCACUAAGUAGAGGGGUUUUA